rnacentral:lncRNA from 1 species
UUUUAGUUCUGACUUUAAAGUCAGAAUUCUGAGAAAAAAGUCAGAAUUCUAAGAUUAAAUUCAGAAUUCUGAGAUUAAGUCAGAAUUCUGAGAGUAAAGUCAGAACUCUGAGAAAAAGUCAGAAUUCUGAGUAAAAAGUCAGAAAUCUAAGAUUAAAGUCCGAAUUCUGAGAAAAAAGUCAGAAUGAAGUGAGAAUUAUGGAUAAACUAUCUGUAAGGAGCCAACUUCAGUGAGAGAGUGACAUGAGAGAUACAUGAAGGUUUACAUGAGUUUCUGCAUGUUCGAGAGGUCCCAGAGGAAGCCAUUGCAGUAAUGGGUGAGCAAAAGGUGAGUGCAAAAGAAAUACACGUUGGUUUGGUGCCUGGCGUUUGUAAGAACAAAGAAAGGCUAUGGAUAUGAAGGAUGCUAAAUCCAGACAAGGGUUAUAAUAAACGUUAGUAGCGUAGCGUUAGCAAACGCCAACGCUACUAGCUGCUAGCUAUAGCUAUUGUAGUACACAGCAUGCGCCACCAAAGGUCAGAGUUGGUCAGAGCUGACACACGGUCAGAAACGCAGCCUCUGAUUGGUCGACAGACUCGACCCAAGGCAUCAUGGGAUUGCUAGUAGACGGCUAACAACAACAACAACAACGAUUGUUUUCAAUCCGGAAAGCUUGAUAAUUAAUCACAGAAGGCAUUCAAUGAUGGAUUUAUCAUCAUGGAUUUAUUUUACAAAGUCUCCAAAAACACACUGCAGUUCAAGGCUGGAUUACAAAGCUUCUGAAAGGGAUACGAUCACUGUACGGUGUCCUGGCAGCUAGAUACACAAGGGAAGUGGUGUUACAGAUGCUGGAGGAUGGAGGGCCAGUUACGGAGCUGAACUCAGAAUCUGAAAUCUAAGAUGAUGAGGACCCAGACUACUGUCCAGAAAGUGUAAGCCACCUGGAAAUCAAACUCUACCAGGUGAACAGGAUCAAUAGGACACAGAAGAUUCAUCCUGUGAAUCCUCUGAGGAAGAAAGUGAUAUUCAAAUCACUUCCAACCGAAUGAGUCAUAUGGGCUCUUAUUGGAGGAAGUUCGAAAUGUUGUGUUAUUAAAACAA